rnacentral:lncRNA from 1 species
UGUCUCUAGGUUUUAAAAAUUUCCUUUUCCAAUUAGCGAGUUUCAUUAUCACUCUUCUCAUUGCCAUAGUUGCAGAGAUCUGUGUGCUGCUACAAACACCCACAGUCUUGGCACUGAAACCUCAAGUUAUUGUAAAUCAAGAUCCUCCUUUCACUGAGGUAAUGAAGAACUGGUAAACUCAGCAUUUCAUGGUGUUUGAUCCAUAUUCUACUGCAGAAUGUACCAGCUACCAGCCUACAGUGCCAUGGACCGACCCAUGUGAUGUUUCC